CCCCUAGAUGUUCUGGGCCGCACGCGCGCUACACUGAACAGUUCAACAAGUCUUAACCUUGGCCGAUAGGUCUGGGUAAUCUUUGAACGCUGUUCGUGAUUGGGAUAGACCUUUGCAAUUAUGGGUCUUCAACGAGGAAUUCCUAGUAAACGCAAGUCAUCAGCUUGCAUUGAUUACGUCCCUGCCCUUUGUACACACCGCCCGUCGCACCUACCGAUUGAAUGGUCCGGUGAAAUCUCGGCACGGCGGCUUGGUCGCUUGCGUCCGACUGCUGAAACUUGAUUAAACCAUAUCAUUUAGAGGAAGGUGAAGUCGUAACA
rnacentral:rRNA from 1 species